rnacentral:rRNA from 1 species
UUUCCCGUCUAGGUGGCGCGAAGGGUGAAGUAACAGUGGGUAAUCUACCUUCGAGUCUGGAAUAACAGUUAAGAAAUGAUUGCUAAUGGCCGGAUGAUAUGUAAGAAGAUAUACUUCAUACAUUAAAAGGUGCCUCAAAGCAUCGCUUGAAGAUGAGCCUGCGCCGUAUUAGCUAGUUGGUGGGGUAAAGGCCUACCAAGGCGACGAUGCGUAGCCGACCUGAGAGGGUGAUCGGCCACACUGGGACUGAGACACGGCCCAGACUCCUACGGGAGACAGCAGUUAGGAAUAUUCGUCAAUGGGGGAAACCCUGAACGAGCAAUGCCGCGUGAAGGAUGACGGUCCUAUGGAUUGUAAACUUCUGUUGUUAGGGAAGAACGACCUAUGUAGGAAAUGACAUAGGAGUGACGGUACCUUUCAAGAAAGCUCCGGCUAACUACGUG